ACUUGAUCGGGAUUGAAGAUUUUUGGAGUUUUUCACUCUCACGGAGAAUAUGAAUUUGAAGAUUCGGGAUAGUACUAGUAUAAUAAUUUUCAGUUGCUGGGAAACAAUAUUCAGAUGAGGUUAUGGAGGUGUUGAUUUCAGAGUAUGAAAGUUCACAGAGAGCUGUAGGAGUGUGAAGUGGUACAGAUGCAGAUUUGGCGUUGGUUUGGAAUGAACUGGUGUUGUUAUUGCUGUGAUAUAGCUCAGGUAAACUUGAUCGGGAUUGAAGAUUUUUGGAGUCUUUCACUCUCACGGAGAAUCCGAAUUUGAAGAUUCAGGAUAGUACUCGUAUAAUAAUUUUCAGUUGCUGGGAAACAACAUUCAGAUGAGGUUAUGGAGGUGUUGAUCUCAGAGUAUGAAAGUUCACAGAGAGAUGUAGGAGUGUGAAGUGGUACAGAUGCAGAUUUGGCGUUGGUUUGGAAUGAACUGGUAUUGUUAUUGUUGUGAUAUAGCUCAGG